UUAUAUCUUGGGUAUCCUAGGAUUGGGGCUAAUAUCCACUUCCCCUAACUUCCAUCGGGGUCCCCAGCCUCAGUCCAAGGCUUGGCUGUGAGUAUCAGCAUCUGUCUCACUCAGCUGUUGGUAGAGCCUCUCAGAAGACAGCCAUGCUAGGCUCCUGACUACAAGCUCAACAUGGCAUCAGAAGUAGUAUCAAGGCCACCCACCUAUCUUCAGAAGUUUUGACCCAGAAUUGUUCCUACCUAAAGGAAAUGCAAAAUUGAGCAGAAAUUGAAGGAAAGGGCAUCCAGUGACCAGCCCAACUUGGGAUCCAUCCUAUACACAGGCACCAAACCCUGACACUAUUGCUGAAAUUUGGCUUUAUAUACUUAGAAUUUAUAGUAUAUAUAUAACUUUGGGGCAAGCCCAACAACUUAGCACAAGCAGUCUUUUAGAAGAUAAAGAUAGCACUAUCAAAUGUAUAAUUGAAUAUUUACAUUCCACAAGACAUAUCUGGUUGAAAAUAAACUUGGGUUAGUCAGAAGACACAUAGAAAAUUUAAAUUGGGGUUAGCAAAUGUUAGUGAAAUAUUCAUGAAUUAGUGAAGCUACCAAAUUGGAAGGGUAUCUUUUUGUAUAUACAUUUUAUAAUGCUAUUAUAACCAUUAUAGAAAACAUUCUGAGUUUUUGAAAUAAAGUCAUUCUAAGAUUUUACAUUUAUAACCAUUAUUAUAGGUUAGUAUGUUCUAAUAAUAGAUUAGAUCCUCAGAAAUUUUUUGAGGGCUAUAGAAAUGAAUCAGCAGUUAAGGGUAUGUGCUACCCUCUGGAGAACCUGAGUUUGAUUACCAGCACCAAUAUUAGAUAGCUCACAACAGCCUUUAACUCCAGCUCAAGGGGGAGCCAAGCCUUCUGGCCUUUGUGGGCAUUUGAACUCUUGUGCACAUAUCUACAAAUAGAUACAAACAUGUAUACAAAAUUAAAAGUUUGAAAGAUAAUAAAAUACAAUCUCUUAAGAAUUGUUUGAAUAAUGUUUCUCUUCAGUUCUCCCAAGGAUUUACAAAAUUACUACAUAUGAAAGAAGAUAAUUAUCACAUAUGAUAGAUGUAAAUUAUUGUAGCCUAAUUUUCUAAAGCACCUAAUUUGAAAAUAGCACCAAAAUGAUAUAAGUAGAUGUCUUCAUAGUAGGACCCAGGAACUGUCUUACUGGCUGGGAUUUGGUAUUCAUUUGUAAGUAGUAGCAGUACUGUGUAGAAUUAAAUUGUUAUAUUCCCAACUACAUGUCAGGAUCCAUCUUUAUUUUAAAGGAAUAACAGAAAACACCAGAGGUCACAAUUUUUGUUUAAGUUAAAUAUAUUUGUGUAUGUGUGUGUUUGCUGAAGUGUGGAAUACCUUACUCACUGUACUAUAUGGGUUGAAAAUAUUGCACAGGAUUUAUAAGUUAGCACAGUUAAUUACCAGGUCUUGCUAUGUAGUCAGGCUUGUACCCAGCUCUUCUUCUGAUUCAUUAUGAAUAUGUAAUUUAGAAAUGCACAUCCCAAGAAGUACCAUAUUGGAACUAUGAGAACAAAUCCCACCAUAAUAAAAUAAAUUGCAAAAAAGAAAUUCUAAAACAUAGAAGAUUAGAAACAUCAGGUUAUAAGCACAUUGGCUUUACCCUUCCUUCAACUCCUUUUAAAUUAGAUCAAGUUAUUUUUUCUUAAAAACGAAUUGAAAUAAAGGUGACUAUACUACUGUCUAUAACC
rnacentral:lncRNA from 1 species